UACGGAGGGUGCAAGCGUUAUCCGGAUUUACUGGGUUUAAAGGGUGCGCAGGCGGAUAUGUAAGUCAGUGGUGAAAUCUCUAGGCUUAACCUGGAAAUUGCCGUUGAUACUAUAUAUCUUGAAUGCUGUGGAGGUAAGCGGAAUAUGUCAUGUAGCGGUGAAAUGCUUAGAUAUGACAUAGAACACCUAUUGCGAAGGCAGCUUACUACGCAGAUAUUGACGCUCGAUGCACGAAAGCGUGGGAUCAAACAGGAAUUAGAAACCCCCGGUUAGGUCCAAGCACCG
rnacentral:rRNA from 1 species